CGGCAGCGCGCGCCUCCUCCCUCUCCUCCGGUCGCGCGCGCCUCCUUCUUCUCCUCCGGUCGCGCGCCGCCUACCUCUCCUCCGGUCGCGUGCCCCUCCUGCACUCUCGCCGAGCCUCUUCACGUCUACAGAAAAAAGGUCCCUCCCUCUUUUCACGCAAUCCCUAAAUCCUUGCUGAAGCUCAAAUCGUCGUCGCACUGCUGGAAGCUCUCAACUCAGGAACAACGGUUCACUGCUGAAGCCCACCGCUGUCGCUGCCGCCGUCGCACUGCUUGAAGCACUGCCGCAGGUACCUUCUUCAUUUGUGUUUAUUUUUCCCUGCUGCUGUGAGACUCUACUUUCCUCUCGGUUUUGGUUAAGCUCUUAUU